rnacentral:rRNA from 1 species
UGGGGAAUUUUGGACAAUGGACGCAAGUCUGAUCCAGCCAUGCCGCGUGCGGGAAGAAGGCCUUCGGGUUGUAAAGCUCUUUCAGGUGGAAAGAAAACGCAUAGGUUAAUACCUUGUGCGGAUGACGGUACCAUCAGAAGAAGCACCGGCUAACUACGUGCCAGCAGCCGCGGUAAUACGUAGGGUGCGAGCGUUAAUCGGAAUUACUGGGCGUAAAGCGUGCGCAGGCGGUUAUGUAAGACAGAUGUGAAAUCCCCGGGCUCAACCUGGGAACUGCGUUUGUGACUGCAUGGCUAGAGUACGGCAAAGGGAGGAGGGAUUCCGCGUGUAGCAGUGAAAUGCGUAGAUAUGCGGAGGAAAACCGAUGGCGAAGGCAGCCUCCUGGGCCAGUACUGACGCUCACGAACGAAAGCGUGGGGAGCAAACA